rnacentral:lncRNA from 1 species
UGAUGUGAAAUGGUUAUUUUGGACAGGUAUGUAUUUAACCCUCGGGUUGAGUAUUGAUACAACCACUAUAAGGUAAUAAGAUGAUGAGGAAUGAUGUUUAGAAAUGUGAUAUGUGUUUUAGUGAUGUAUGCUAAUGUUGAUUGGUAUAACUGUUUGUUAUGUUACUUAUUAUUUGCAUAUGAACUUACUAAACAUUUAUGCUUACUCCCUCCUUCUUACUCAUUGUAGUUUUGGACAAGCCAGCUCAGGAGUCGGGAUAGGUCGAAGGCUCAGUCAC